rnacentral:rRNA from 1 species
UACGUAGGGGGCAAGCGUUGUCCGGAGUUACUGGGCGUAAAGCGCACGCAGGCGGUCUGUUAAGUUUGGGAGUGACAGUUGGUGGCUUAACUGCCAAAGUGCUUCGAAAACUGAUCGACUUGAGGGCUUCAGAGGGACACGGAAUUCCGGGUGGAGUGGUGAAAUGCGUAGAGAUCCGGAGGAACACCGAAGGCGAAGGCAGUGUCCUGGGGAGUACCUGACGCUCAGGUGCGAAAGCCAGGGGAGCGAACGGG